GGGAAAGAUGAAAAGCACUUUGGAAAGAGAGUUAAACAGUACGUGAAAUUGUUGAAAGGGAAACGAUUGAAGUCAGUCGCGUCCGCCGGGACUCAGCCUUGCGUUCUCGCUCGGUGUACUUUCUGGUGGACGGGCCAGCAUCAAUUUUGAUCGUCGGAAAAGGAUCGGGGAAAUGUGGCACCUUUCGGGGUGUGUUAUAGUCUCCGGUCGCAUACGACGGUUGGGAUUGAGGAACUCAGCAUGCCUUUACGGUCGGGGUUCGCCCACGUUCAUGCUUAGGRUGCUGGCGUAAUGGCUUUAAACGACCCGUCUUGAAACACGGACCAAGGAGUCUAACAUGCCCGCGAGUGUUCGGGUGGAAAACCCGUGCGCGUAAUGAAAGUGAAAGUUGGGACCUCUGUCGCGGAGGGCACCGACGCCCGGACCAGAACUUCUGUGACGGAUCUGCGGUAGAGCGUGUAUGUUGGGACCCGAAAGAUGGUGAACUAUGCCUGAAUAGGGUGAAGCCAGAGGAAACUCUGGUGGAGGNNNNNNNNAUUCUGACGUGCAAAUCGAUCGUCAAAUUUGGGUAUAGGGGCGAAAGACUAAU
rnacentral:rRNA from 1 species